rnacentral:lncRNA from 1 species
GGGGGGUAACUCGAGUUGCCUAAAACCCGUAUAUUUUGUAGAAACAUAGCCGCCGACGACCGACUAAUUUAUUUCAAUGUAUUCAAACAAAUUAUAAUUAUAAACUAUUGAUGAGUAUAAUUUGGUAUGAAGUAACGCGCAAGCUUGGUGCUGUUUAAUACGUUUUGCAAUAAUAAUGACAGUGUCCGUCUUUCCGACCUCACUGUUUAACAGGACUAUUUUCCA